AUUUUAUGGUUCAGUAGGGGAUUGAGUUGCACCAUUACUUUUUGAUUUCUGUUUAUCACAUUUAUUAUCAUCAUUUUGCCUCAACAUGAUUAAAAUAUCCUACAUCUGUUUUUGUUUCUAAGUUUUCUAGCUCAAGUUGUGUAAAAUUGAAUUCAGUGCUGCCUAGUUCUAGUCUAAGAAAUGCUUUUAGUGGAUAGUAUUGGAGAAAAACAUUGUAUAGGUCAAUAUUUACUGUGGAGCCUUUAAAGUGAAAACAUACACUUCUCCAUAACAGGACUAUUUUUGUUUGUCAAUCAUGAUGUUGUUGUUUAGGACUAUAGAAGGGUACUACCAAUGGUAGGAUAACUGAAACAAGAAAAAAUAAUAAAAAAUCUGGAACAUUGGCUGGGAUUUAGUUUACUUGUUGGCCAUAGUGCAUGAAUUGUAAUAAACUCCUUGACAUGUGAUCAAUUCCUACUGAAGAAAAAACCUGCUACGUUAGUAUAGUGCUAAAAAGAGCUGAACUGAACAAAGCAUAUGAUUCUACAAACUGAAAAACAUUUAGAAAAACCCCAAAACCCAGUCCUAAACCACUUCUUUUGCUGUCAAAAUGUCUUAAGAUUUCCACAAUAUAUGAAUGCAGCAUUAUUUGAGGUUUAUCUGUAAAAUCCAAUUUUAUUCCAACGAAAUUCAAAUGUAGUUUUUGUUUGGAUGCGAAUGUCAUUAUAAGUUCUAACAAGUUUGGAGUUGUUGUAAACGAGACAGCACCAUCCUUUUCUCUUUAUUAGAUAACUUUUUAUGCGCUUAGUCCCUUCAUACCAGACAGGAGUGUAGUGAAGGCAAUAGAUUACAUCAUCCCACAAUAAUAGCUUCAUUUCUAUUGUCACAAUUUAGUUGGGUUUUUCUUUUUCAAAUAUCUUGAUUUGCUACCAAGACAAUUUCUGUUCCAAUACAUACUUGAAUUCAUAGUCCCUGCUUGUUUUUGUCAUUCAUAUUUUCUAUCAACAAUUUUUUUUUGAAUGAACGUGAUGCAAUAUGACUUCUCACGUGAAAUGUAGGGAGUAUAGAUUUCCAAGUCUUUGGCUCAUACUCAACAAGUCUCCAUAAUUUCAGGUCUUGUCUGGUUUCAUGGAAUUCUUUGAAUGACAAAGAAGAAAUGAUAUCAGCCUUUGCUUAUCAGUCAUGCAUCCAUGUUGCUCUCUGCAGCUUAACACUUCUCUCUGUCCUUGGGGAUUGCAAGGAAUGGCAUGACAUCUAUUCUUUCAGUAAUGACACGGAAGACUGUUGCCAUUUCUCCCAAUAUCCUUUUAACUGCAUAUUUCCUUUCUUCUUUAUUUCUGUUUUCUCCAUGUUUUUUCUUUGUACUUUAAUGCUUGUUUUUCUUCUCUGGAAACUUAAAAUGGAUUACAUUAGUUGUUAAUUUUGCAACUCCAUUUUACAUGUUGUUUUAGCUCAAUAAGGAAUUUUUGAAAGAGAAUUUCAGUAUUAUACAAUUUCAUUUUAUAUAACUCGGUUGUGUUAGCUGAACACAUCCUUUCUUACAUCUUGUUUCUCUUUUCUUCUAUUCCUAACUGCACUCGCACCUUACCGAAUGGAAAACUCCUUCUGUUGACUAAGUAAUCCAUGUUUUACUUCUCUACUCCUAUGUUUGUGGGCUGCAGAUUAUCUCUGUUGAAGUCAACUGAGAGAAAUCCUCUGCCUGAGAGGAUUCUUGGGUUUCAUAUUAUCCCUUCUUUUUGACUAAUCGCCAACCACUCAAUCUUCUUUUUCUGGAUGACCACUACUUUUUCCAUUGAAGUAUACAUCUCACAUUUCGGCAGAAGAUGCAGAACCUAAUGCAUGGCAUGGGUUGGAAUCCUGUUGCUACAUAGGAACGUAAGAAAAGCAAGUAGGGGUUUUGUAAAAAUAUAUGACAACCAUAAUUGUUUUCUUAAAUUCUGUUGCUGUUUUUUCAACAUAGCAUUUGUGCCUUUAAUUUUCAAUAAGCAGUUAAGCAUAUUUUUAUAGGAGUUAAUCGUAUUUAAGCAAUAAUGCU